AGUGAACGCUGGCGGUAGGCCUAACACAUGCAAGUCGAACGGCAGCACAGUAAGAGCUUGCUCUUACGGGUGGCGAGUGGCGGGCGGGGGAGGAAUACGUCGGAAUCUACUUUUUCGUGGGGGAUAACGUAGGGAAACUUACGCUAAUACCGCAUACGACCUACGGGUGAAAGCAGGGGAUCUUCGGACCUUGCGCGAUUGAAGGAGCCGAUGUCGGAUUAGCUAGUUGGCGGGGUAAAGGCCCACCAAGGCGACGAUCCGUAGCUGGUCUGAGAGGAUGAUCAGUCACACUGGAACUGAGACACGGUCCAGACUCCUACGGGAGGCAGCAGUGGGGAAUAUUGGACAAAGGGCGCAAGCCUGAUCCAGCCAUACCGCGUGGGUGAAGAAGGCCUUCGGGUUGUAAAGCCCUUUUGUUUGGAAAGAAAAGCAGUAGGUUAAUACCCCGCUGUUCUGACGUUACCCAAAGAAUAAGCACCGGCUAACUUCGUG
rnacentral:rRNA from 1 species